UACGAAGGGGGCUAGCGUUGUUCGGAUUUACUGGGCGUAAGGCGCACGUAGGCGGAUUGGUCAGUUAGGGGUGAAAUCCUGGAGCUCAACUCCAGAACUGCCUUUAAUACUGCCAAUCUCGAGUCCGGAAGAGGUAAGUGGAACUCCUAGUGUAGAGGUGGAAUUCGUAGAUAUUAGGAAGAACACCAGUGGCGAAGGCGGCUUACUGGUCCGGUACUGACGCUGAGGUGCGAAAGCGUGGGGAGCAAACAGG
rnacentral:rRNA from 1 species